UCGAGGAUCUUCGGCAAUGGGCGCAAGCCUGACCGAGCGACGCCGCGUGUGCGAUGAAGGCCUUCGGGUUGUAAAGCACUGUCGAGGGGAAGAAAAGCUCGUAAGGGUUUGAUCGACCCCUGGAGGAAGCACGGGCUAAGUUCGUGCCAGCAGCCGCGGUAAGACGAACCGUGCGAACGUUGUUCGGAUUCACUGGGCUUAAAGGGCGCGUAGGCGGGCGGUCAAGUCAGGGGUGAAAUCUUUCAGCUCAACUGGAAAAGUGCCUCUGAUACUGAUCAUCUCGAGGGAGGUAGGGGCAUGUGGAACUUCCGGUGGAGCGGUGAAAUGCGUAGAUAUCGGAAGGAACGCCGGUGGCGAAAGCGACGUGCUGGACCUCUUCUGACGCUGAGGCGCGAAAGCUAGGGGAGCAAACGGGAUUAGAUACCCCGGUAGUCC
rnacentral:rRNA from 1 species